rnacentral:rRNA from 1 species
AUUGAACGCUGGCGGCAUGCCUUACACACGCAAGUCGAACGGCAGCACGGGAGCAAUCCUGGUGGCGAGUGGCGAACGGGUGAGUAAUAUAUCGGCACGUGCCCAGUCGUGGGGGAUAACGUAGCGAAAGCUACGCUAAUACCACAUACGAUCUAUGGAUGAAAGCGGGGGAUCGAAAGACCUCGCGCGACUGUAUCUGCCGAUAUCAGAUUAGGUAGUUGGUGAGGUAAAGGCUCACCAAGCCGACGAUCUGUAGCUGGUCUGAGAGGACGACCAGCCACACUGGAACUGAGACACGGUCCGGACUCCUACGGGAGGCAGCAGUGGGGAAUUUUGGACAAUGGGCGCAAGCCUGAUCCAGCAAUGCCGCGUGCAGGAUGAAGGCCUUCGGGUUGUAAACUGCUUUUGUACGGAACGAAACGGUGAGCUCUAAUACAGUUUGCUAAUGACGGUACCGUAAGAAUAAGCACCGGCUAACUACGUGCCAGCCGCCGCCGUAA